rnacentral:rRNA from 1 species
AGUGAACGCUGGCGGUAGGCCUAACACAUGCAAGUCGAACGGCAGCACAGUAAGAGCUUGCUCUUACGGGUGGCGAGUGGCGGACGGGUGAGGAAUACGUCGGAAUCUACCUUUUCGUGGGGGAUAACGUAGGGAAACUUACGCUAAUACCGCAUACGACCUACGGGUGAAAGCAGGGGAUCUUCGGACCUUGCGCGAUUGAAUGAGCCGAUGUCGGAUUAGCUAGUUGGCGGGGUAAAGGCCCACCAAGGCGACGAUCCGUAGCUGGUCUGAGAGGAUGAUCAGCCACACUGGAACUGAGACACGGUCCAGACUCCUACGGGAGGCAGCAGUGGGGAAUAUUGGACAAUGGGCGCAAGCCUGAUCCAGCCAUACCGCGUGGGUGAAGAAGGCCUUCGGGUUGUAAAGCCCUUUUGUUGGGAAAGAAAAGCAGCAGGUUAAUACCCCGCUGUUCUGACGGUACCCAAAGAAUAAGCGCCGGCUAACUUCGUG